UACGAAGGGGGCUAGCGUUGCUCGGAAUCACUGGGCGUAAAGCGCACGUGGGCGGACUCUUAAGUCAGGGGUGAAAUCCUGGAGCUCAAUUCCAGAACUGCCUUUGAUACUGGGAGUCUUGAGUCCGGAAGAGGUAAGUGGAACUGCGAGUGUAGAGGUGAAAUUCGUAGAUAUUCGCAAGAACACCAGUGGCGAAGGCGGCUUACUGGUCCGGUACUGACGCUGAGGUGCGAAAGCGUGGGGAGCAAACAGG
rnacentral:rRNA from 1 species